GUGGAGUCACUCCCCCUUCAGGCUGCUGUUCAGCAGGUGAAGUUGACUCCUGGCCCAUGGCAACUCUUCACUCUCCUCCUGCUCAUUAAAAAUCCAAAAUGGGGUACUCUUAGUAUAUAUACUUUUUAAUUAAAUUUUGUGUUUUAUAAGUUAGAACAUUCAUUUAAACAACCUUAAAGUACUGAUGAAUUCUGUUCUUCUCUUUCCAUGGUUCAUUUUGCACACCGUACAUCCCUGCAUAUUUUACAUGAACAAAACCAUUCAGUAUUCCAUUAUUGCAUCCAUCAAAACUUAUUUACACUGUUGAAUUUAUCUUAAUGCUACCAGCGUUUUUAAAUGUGCACAAUUUUCACCCAUAUAUUCAGUAAACAUUUUCCAAUCAUCAACGUAUGUUCUUCUUGUUCUCUUAUUCUAUAUUUUAGGUCUGCAAGCUACACAUAUUCCAUCAGUUUAAGUUGCCAUUCUUCUUUUGUUGGGACUUCGCUCACUUUCCAUUUUGGGGCUAACAAAACAUGGGGUGUAGUAGUGGCAUACAUAAAUAGCCUUUUUUGACACCUGGGAAUUUCCGUCUGAAUUAUCCCCAACAAAAAGGACUCUGGUGUGGGUUUUUUUGGAAAGGUACUUUUAAACAUUUUUUUCAGUUCAUUAUAUAUCAUUUCCCAAUACUCUGUUACCCUUUUACAAGUCCACCACAUAUGAUAAAAUAUACCCUCAACCUCAUUACAUCUCCAGCACUUAUCUGAUUUGGACUUAUACCUUUUAGCAAG